rnacentral:rRNA from 1 species
CCUCAAAUCGGGUGAGACUACCCGCUGAACUUAAGCAUAUCAAU